GCAGGGCCGCGGCGCUGCUCCAGCGUCAGCAGUGCCUCCUCCGCAGCCGCCUCGACCUCCCGGUCCUCGCCCGGCGCCCCCCCACCCCCGCUCGUCCCCGCGCUCUUCGUCAUCGGCGGCGACUCCACAGCGGACGUCAGCGCCAACAACUACCUCGGCACGCUCGCCCGCGCCGACCGCGAGCCCUGUGGACGGAGCUUCGGCACCCACCGCCCCGCCGGACGCUUCUCCAACGGCCGCGUCCCCGUCGACUACCUCGCGGAGAAGCUGGGGCUUCCCUUCGUGCCUCCGUACCUCGAGCAGAGCAUGCGCAUGGGCGUCGGCAGUGUUAGCCUCAGCAACACUGGUGGAAUGAUCCAAGGCAUCAACUACGCUUCCGCGGCAGCCGGCAUUCUCUCCAGCAGUGGCUCUGAGCUGGGGGUGCACAUGUCGCUGACCCGGCAGGUGAAGCAGGUUGAGGACACAUAUGAACAGUUGGCGCUGGCUCUUGGGGAAGCAACUACAGUCGACCUGUUCAAGAGGUCGGUGUUUUUUCUGUCGAUCAGGAGCAAGGACUUCAUCCACUACUACCUGCGAGAUGUGUCAGGCGUUCAGAUGCAUUAUCUCCCAUGGGAGUUCAAUCAGCUCCUUGUUAAUGCAGUGAGGCAGGAAAUCAAGAAUCUGUACAAUAUCAACGUUCGAAAGGUCGUGCUGAUGGGCCCUCCCCCUGUUGGCUGUGCUCCUCACUUCCUUUCGGACUACGGCAGCCAAAAUGGGGAAUGCAUUGACUACAUCAACAACGUUGUGAUCGAGUUCAACUAUGGCCUGAGAUACAUGUCCAGAGAGUUCAUCCGCCAGUACCCAGACCCUAUGAUCGGUUACUGUGUUACAUUUGAGGGGUCAGUGGACAUACUAGAGAACCGUGUCCGCUAUGGCUUUCUGACUACCACUGAUGCUUGCUGUAGGCUUCGCAAGUAUGGCGGCCUAUUCAUAUGUGUUCUUCCAUAG
rnacentral:rRNA from 1 species